UGAGCAAUGAGGAUAAAAAUUCCAAAGUGAUGAACACUGACUACGUUAUACGCUAUUCUGAGCCAUGG